rnacentral:rRNA from 1 species
AACGCGAAGAACCUUACCUGGCCUUGACAUGUCUGGAAUCCUGCAGAGAUGCGGGAGUGCCUUCGGGAAUCAGAACACAGGUGCUGCAUGGCUGUCGUCAGCUCGUGUCGUGAGAUGUUGGGUUAAGUCCCGCAACGAGCGCAACCCUUGUCCUUAGUUGCCAGCGAGUAAUGUCGGGAACUCUAAGGAGACUGCCGGUGACAAACCGGAGGAAGGUGGGGAUGACGUCAAGUCCUCAUGGCCCUUACGGCCAGGGCUACACACGUACUACAAUGGUCGGUACAGAGGGUUGCAAUACCGCGAGGUGGAGCCAAUCCCAGAAAGCCGAUCCCAGUCCGGAUCGAAGUCUGCAACUCGACUUCGUGAAGUCGGAAUCGCUAGUAAUCGCGGAUCAGCUAUGCCGCGGUGAAUACGUUCCCGGGCCUUGUA